GAUCAAGCGAAUAAGUGCAUAUGAUGGAUGCCUUGGCGAUCACAGGCGAUGAAGGACGCGGUAGCCUGCGAAAAGCUACGGGGAGCUGGCAAACAAGCUUUGAUCCGUAGAUGUCCGAAUGGGGAAACCCACCGUAGUAAUACGGUAUCCCAUGCUGAAUACAUAGGCAUGUGGAGGCGAACCGAGUGAACUGAACCAUCUCAGUAACUCGAGGAAAAGAAAUCAACCGAGAUUCCGGAAGUAGUGGCGAGCGAAACCGGACCAGCCUGGAUGUUUUAGCGUAGUGAAUAGUCGAAUGGAAUGGAAAGUCCAGCCGUAGCAGGUGAUAGCCCUGUAGGCGAAAUUCAGUACGUGGAACUAAGCAUCGAACAAGUAGGGCGGGACACGUGAAAUCCUGUCUGAAUAUGGGGGGACCAUCCUCCAAGGCUAAAUACUCGUGAUCGACCGAUAGUGAACCAGUACCGUGAGGGAAAGGCGAAAAGAACCCCGGAAGGGGAGUGAAAUAGAUCCUGAAAUCGUAUGCAUACAAACAGUAGGAGCACCCUCGUGGUGUGACUGCGUACCUUUUGUAUAAUGGGUCAGCGACUUACAUUCAGUGGCAAGCUUAACCGAAUAGGGGAGGCGUAGCGAAAGCGAGUCCGAAUAGGGCGAUUCAGUCGCUGGGUGUAGACCCGAAACCAGGCGAUCUAUCCAUGGCCAGGUUGAAGGCACGGUAACACGUGCUGGAGGACCGAACCCACUAAUGUUGAAAAAUUAGGGGAUGAGCUGUGGAUCGGAGUGAAAGGCUAAACAAGCCUGGAGAUAGCUGGUUCUCUCCGAAAACUAUUUAGGUAGUGCCUCGUAUAUUACUGCCGGGGGUAGAGCACUGUUAUGGCUAGGGGGUCACAGCGACUUACCAACCCAUGGCAAACUCCGAAUACCGGCAAGUACAGUACGGGAGACAGAGCACCGGGUGCUAACGUCCGGACUCAAGAGGGAAACAACCCAGACCGCCAGCUAAGGUCCCUAACUAUGGCUAAGUGGGAAACGAAGUGGGAAGGCAUAGACAGUCAGGAGGUUGGCUUAGAAGCAGCCAUCCUUUAAAGAAAGCGUAAUAGCUCACUGAUCGAGUCGUCCUGCGCGGAAGAUGUAACGGGGCUAAGCCAUAGACCGAAGCUGCGGAUGUGUACUCUGUACACAUGGUAGGAGAGCGUUCCGUAAGCCUGUGAAGGUGUUCCGUGAGGAAUGCUGGAGGUAUCGGAAGUGAGAAUGCUGACAUGAGUAGCGAUAAAGGGGGUGAAAAGCCCCCUCGCCGUAAGUCCAAGGUUUCCUGCGCAACGUUCAUCGGCGCAGGGUGAGUCGGCCCCUAAGGCGAGGCAGAGAUGCGUAGCUGAUGGGAAGCGGGUUAAUAUUCCCGCACCGUCGUAGAGUGCGAUGGGGGGACGGAUUGCAGAAUGUUAUCGGGGUGUUGGAUGUCCCCGUUGGCGCAUCAUAGAAGGCACUUAGGCAAAUCCGGGUGCGUAAUUCAAGGGUGUGACUGGAUAGAGCUUCGGCUCUAAACUAACUGGAAGCAGUUCCAAGAAAAGCCUCUAAGCUUCAGCUCUACGAGACCGUACCGCAAACCGACACAGGUGGACGGGAUGAAUAUUCCAAGGCGCUUGAGAGAACUCAGGAGAAGGAACUCGGCAAAUUAAUACCGUAACUUCGGGAGAAGGUAUGCCUCAUUAGUGUGAUGUGCCUGCGCACAAAGCAUGAAGAGGCCGCAGUGAAUCGGUGGCUGCGACUGUUUACUAAAAACACAGCACUCUGCAAACACGAAAGUGGACGUAUAGGGUGUGACGCCUGCCCGGUGCCGGAAGGUUAAGUGAUGGGGUGCAAGCUCUUGAUCGAAGCCCCGGUAAACGGCGGCCGUAACUAUAACGGUCCUAAGGUAGCGAAAUUCCUUGUCGGGUAAGUUCCGACCUGCACGAAUGGCGUAACGAUGGCCACACUGUCUCCUCCUGAGACUCAGCGAAGUUGACAUGGUUGUGAUGAUGCAAUCUCCCCGCGGCUAGACGGAAAGACCCCAUGAACCUUUACUGUAGCUUUGCAUUGGAUUGUGAACCGGCCUGUGUAGGAUAGGUGGGAGACGUUGAAGCGUGGUCGCCAGAUCGCGUGGAGUCAUCCUUGAAAUACCACCCUGGUCUGUUUGCGGUUCUAACCUAGGUCCCU
rnacentral:rRNA from 1 species